UUUAACCUCGUUGAUCCCGUUGAACGGAACACAAUUGGAGUACCUUCUGGUGGAUGGGUGGCGAUAAGAUUUCGCGCCGAUAAUCCAGGAGUUUGGUUCAUGCAUUGCCAUCUAGAGGUGCACACCACAUGGGGACUUAAGAUGGCGUUCUUGGUAGACAAUGGCAAAGGCCCAAAGGAGUCUCUUCUACCGCCGCCAAGCGACCUUCCAAAAUGUUGAAAUCAGAUCAAGAACGACACUAACUUGAGGGAUAGAAGCUAUACUUUAUUAGGAAACUUGGUCCCGGUGGAAACAUUCUUUGCUCGAAGAGAGCAGAGUGUGUAUAUAUAUAAUUUGAGGGUUUAAGAUCCGAUUUGUUUCUUGAGUGAAUUGGGAGAUUUGCUCAAGCGAGUUUGAAUUAAAUUUUGUGAGCGGUAUAGCUGUUUCAAUUCAAAUGUUAUUUUUUCUUGAAUAAAUAUAUCUAUUGAAGAUUUGAUCACAAAGCCAUUCAUGAUCAAUAAAACUUGUAUGUUCUA